GACGAACGCUGGCGGCGUGCUUAACACAUGCAAGUCGAACGGAAAGGCCCUGCUUUUGUGGGGUGCUCGAGUGGCGAACGGGUAAGUAACACGUGAGUAACCUGCCCUUGACUUUGGGAUAACUUCAGGAAACUGGGGCUAAUACCGGAUAGGAGCUCCUGCUGCAUGGUGGGGGUUGGAAAGUUUCGGCGGUUGGGGAUGGACUCGCGGCUUAUCAGCUUGUUGGUGGGGUAGUGGCUUACCAAGGCUUUGACGGGUAGCCGGCCUGAGAGGGUGACCGGCCACAUUGGGACUGAGAUACGGCCCAGACUCCUACGGGAGGCAGCAGUGGGGAAUAUUGCACAAUGGGCGGAAGCCUGAUGCAGCAACGCCGCGUGCGGGAUGACGGCCUUCGGGUUGUAAACCGCUUUCGCCUGUGACGAAGCGUGAGUGACGGUAAUGGGUAAAGAAGCACCGGCUAACUACGUG
rnacentral:rRNA from 1 species